GCACUGUUGAGAAGUUCUACAAUAGGACGAAACGGCCGUCCAGUAC
rnacentral:hammerhead_ribozyme from 1 species